CCCAAACUGGGAUUAGAUACCCCACUAUGCUUAGCCCUAAACCUAGAUAGUUAGCUCAAACAAAACUAUCCGCCAGAGAACUACUAGCAACAGCUUAAAACUCAAAGGACUUGGCGGUGCUUUAUAUCCCUCUAGAGGAGCCUGUUCUAUAAUCGAUAAACCCCGAUAAACCUCACCAUCUCUUGCUAAUUCAGCCUAUAUACCGCCAUCUUCAGC
rnacentral:rRNA from 1 species